GUGGUCUCUUAAUUUUUUCCAGAGCUGUACAUAACUGUGUGUGCAAUUUUUAAGUACUAAUGUUGUAGUAAUGCUAUUGACUAUCUGCCUUCAGUUUCAAUGACUUGGAAAUAUAGCAAAAAACUCAAUAAUUUCAUGUUGUACUAUGCAGAUUCUCAGUUUGCACUGAUGAAGAUUUAUUCACCUCUGCAUGCUGAAUAGUUGGAGCAGCUUCAACUGACUGCAACUCUGUCUUAAUUUGGUUGAUACUUAAUUCUUAGGGAAUUGAAUGUUUAUACACUGAUUCUGAGCUAAGUAAAACAAUGAAAUCAUUUAGUGGCACCUCGUUUUCUGUGUGUGUAUUCAUUCCAAAUACACACAUGGAAAAUGGGGCAGUUUCAAAAGUGACACACAGACUUCAAAGACAGGACCUGAUAUUAUAUAAAACACUCUUCAUUUCCUCCUCUUUAGAUUCCCCUAACCUGUCUUAUUUAAUCAUCCCACAAACAUGGCAGAAGACAGAAUAAUAAGACAGAAUGUGCCAGCAGCUUAAGCUGAAAGAUACUCUUAGCUGAGCCAAAGUUUUUCAAAAUCCAAAAUACCACAACACUUAAAGUCUCAACUGUGCUUCAAGGAAGUAUGUGCAUGUUUCCCACUCAGCCACUUCCCCAUUAAACAAAUGGAUGCUUUGGUAUUAUUUUUUUUUAAUUAACAACAUCCAUGUUGUCAUUGCUGGACUGGAGUUGAUUCAUGUACGUAUCUUGUGGUCUGAUCAGCAACAAUAGACAGUUUUGUUUUUGUCACUGUGUGCCUGAAAAAUGAAUGCAACAACAGUACAAGAAAAUAUUCUAAGAACACUACUGAUGGUAUUUUCUUGGGGUUUCUUCUUGGGGGGGGGCUUGUUAAUUAUAUUUAGAACAAAGUCAGUGUCACAUCUUAUCAGAGAGGAGUUGCUCUAAAACAGGGUUUUACUGAUAUUUUAAAACAAAGAGGAAAUGAUUUGACUUUGUAAAAUGUCUAUUAGCUAAUUAAACAAAUUAACUAAAAUUAUUAGCAUCUAGUAUUAAGAGAUUAGCACGGUGAGCACUAUUAUAUAUAAACAACAGCAUGUGUGUGAAGUCUCUCUUGAUCUUUGCCUCUAACAGGCUGCCAACGUUUCCAAAUCCAGCAGUUUGCAUGAUAGCCAGAGGUUGAGACAGACAUAUUUCUGUACUCUUUUAGGUUCAGUAUUUCUUUUAUCAACUGAAACUCUGUUACAGCUUACAUAAUAAAUGUCUGGACAUGUAGAACAUAUAAUUUCCUUUUACAUCCUUGAGGUUCCUUGAUAAAACUUGAAAUAGCUAGUCUAAAGUCUUCCUCCAGUUGUGGGAUGCUGUUACCAUGAAUUGUUCGAGCUUAUCUUGGUGAGUUCACUGAUGAGAAAAAGAUCAAUUCUUGACUUUCUGACUGGCACAUGACAGAUCAGGAUUGAUCAGGCUUAAAAUUGGACGAUUCCAGUCUACAGUCAACUUCUCUGUGCACCUCUUACUCAGAAAUUUAAACAAUUUCUUGUUUAAAGAUUAGGAGUAGUGUACAAUAAAUCCUACAUGCGAAGCUAAAACCAGCAAAUAUUUAGUUUUGUUUUUCUUUUUGCAUUUUCAGUCAUUGUAAAUCAGUUCUGUUUUAAAUUAGCUCAAUCAUUGCUGAUUUAAUUUGUAAUUUACAGAAAAAUUACAUCUGCGGGAAUUUAUCAUUUUUAAAUCUUUGCAGUUAUUUCUUCCAUUAACUAGAAAUCACAACUUUAACUAUAAGAUUAUGUGGAAGAUGGAUUUAAAGGUCUGGAAAGGUCCAGAAUCUUGUUCUAAACACAAAUAUUUUCCAGGUUUUCUGAUUAUGUUUUAUAAAUAGCUGCUGAAAACCAGAUCUAAAUUUACAUGCAAGGAUUGUUUAACAAUUGGGCCCAUAAUAAAGCACUGGAGGAGCAUUUGGCUGCCCAUCCCUGGUUUGUGUUAUAAAUAAAAUAUCUUUGAUCCCUACUUUCUCUUUGUUCAUUUUUUAAUUACCUCACAUUUUGUCCUUCUGUCCUUUCUCCCUUGCUUUGUGUUGCAUCUGUCCAUCUGUGUAUUUUUGGCUGGCUGUAGCAAUUAAGAGGAUAAUGCUUUUCAUCCACUCCAAACAGUCUGAGCUAAAGACACUGAAAAUAUGAGUAAGAGAGGGAACAUUAAGCAGUAGACAGAGACUGUGGCAGAGCUGCAGGAAGAGGAGAGUGGAGUUGGAUGAAAGGAAGAGCCUGAGGUAGUGCCUCAGCCUACAUUUAAGAGAAGCCCACCGGGGUUAACAGAGCCCUUGACGAUAGAUUCUUAAGUCCAUUCCUGCUUGUUACUUGUUUGUUUUUACCACUUCUUGUGGGUCUCUGUUGGAUUGUGAAAGAAAGAGAUAAACAAAACAUCUAAAGCUUAAAUACUUUCCUACAAGUAGCCUAGUUGCCAAAAAAGUCAUCUCACUCAUACUCAAUGCAAAUAAUAAUGAUUUGCACAUCUACAUUUAUGUUCAUCCAUGAUGCAGAGUAGAAAGGAUUAUGAUAAAGCAGAAGAUAUCUCACAUCCGGGUUGUGUUGUACAAUUAGCAUAUGCUACAUUAAAUAUAUAGCACUUUCUAGAGGUGAUAGGGCUGGAUAAUAAGUCAGUAACAAUAUCGCGAAAGGCACAUGAUCAAUAUCAAUAGAUAGCACAUUAGAAUAUUCAAUAAUUUCAUUAAACUCUGAACCAGAACAGCACAGCAUUCUGGGGGAUGGAGGCAGAGGAAAGGCUUUAUCUGGCCUGCUCAACAUCUCAUGGCCAGCUAAGAAAGGUUGCUGGCAUCAACUAACUCACUCACUCUUUGGUUACCUAGCAACAACCUGUUACUAGGUGACUUGCACAGCAGCAAGUUGCUGA